rnacentral:rRNA from 1 species
UACGAAGGGGGCUAGCGUUGCUCGGAAUGACUGGGCGUAAAGGGGCGCGUAGGCGGCGUCAUACAGUCAGAUGUGAAAAUUCCUGGGGCUUAACCUCGGGGGCUGCAUUUGAUACUGUGGGCUUGAGUGGGGAAGAGGGUUCGUGGAAAUUCCCUAGUGUAGAGGUGAAAUUUCGUAGAUAUUGGGAAGAACUCCGGUGGCGAAGGACGGCGACCUGGUCCUUGACUGGACGCUGAGGCGCGAAUGCGUGGGG